CGUUAUGAAGCUAAGUAGCAUUAACCUUUUAAGUUAAAGAUCGAGAUUUAAUUCUCCAUAACGA
rnacentral:tRNA from 1 species